CCUACGGGGGGCUGCAGUAGGGAAUAUUGGGCAAUGGACGAAAGUCUGACCCAGCCAUGCCGCGUGCAGGAUGACUGCCCUAUGGGUUGUAAACUGCUUUUCUAUGGGAAGAAACACUCAUACGUGUAUGAACUUGACGGUACCAUAGGAAUAAGGAUCGGCUAACUCCGUUCCAGCAGCCGCGGUAAUACGGAGGAUCCAGGCGUUGUCCGGAUUAAUUGGGUUUAAGGCGGACGUAUAAGGAAUACUUGAAACCUUGCGGCUCAACCGUAAAAUUGCCUUUGAAACUGGUAGUCUUGAGUGCGGUCGAGGUGGAUGGAAUGUGUCAUGUAGCGGUGAAAUGCUUAGAUAUGACCCAGAACACCAAUUGCGAAGGCAGUUCACUAGACCGAUACUGACGCUGAGGCACGAAAGCGUGGGGAGCGAACAGGAUUAGAUACCCGGGUAGUC
rnacentral:rRNA from 1 species